GGCAUUCAGUAGAACACAUUCAAAUCUUUCCAUACAUCAUGAAACAUUCACACAUUACAUCAUAUGCUCUUAUCGAAUUCAAAAAAGGAAAUUUUCAAUGAGAACAAACAGAAUCAUAAAUCGAGUUCUUUAGAAAUUACUGAGAGAUCCUGAUUAGAAAUCCCCAGUUUUACAUUGUUCCGCCACCCUCUCCGGUUGCCUUCUUUCUCUUCUUUUCCUCUUCUCCGAUUUUCUCUGUUAGAAUCCCAGAUAUUACGGACCCAGACGAAACGAAAAUCGAGAAAACGGGAUGGUUGCACGAAGAAGCAAAUCAGCAAGGAAGCAGGGGAUCACAACAGGUGCAGGAGGAACUCGGUAAAACCCAGUGCAGAGAAGCAGAAAAUCAGGGAACAGAAUAAGGAAAAUGGAAACGCAUGCAGGGUAUUCGAAGCCCUAUGCACGGAAUCAACUGAACCGGACAGGCUUUCUCUAGCGACGAACCGGCCUAAUCCCUAAACCGAACCGACCUUUCUUCUACCCUCUCCAUUCAGCGAACCCGAUGGAUGCAUCCCCUCUGUUCACCGGCUUUUCCGCAACGUUCCGGCGUCCUUGGCAACGAUUGGCAAUUUGUAUAACAUAUGCAUGCACCAUUUUGUAUAUAUAAACUACCUAUUUAAAGGAUUUGAGCAUCGAAGUGUAUUUGCAAAGAUUAAUCUCAAUCAUCUGAAUCUCUCUCUAUCUUUCUCUUUUCAGCUUCUCUCUCUCUAAAAUCUCUACCUUUUCCUUCUCACUCUCGGCUCCUCCCUCUCUCGGCAGUCCUUUUUCUCUCUCUCCAGUCUCCUUUCUCUCGGACUCUUUUCCUCUCUCCCCGACUCCCUCUUUUGUCUCUCUUUUUGAUAUCUUUCCUUCUCUCUCUACAACUUUCUCUAAAUUCUGUUCCCUCCUAAUCUUCUAUUAAUUCUAGAUUCUUCCCCCGGUAUUCUUAAUAUUUUCAACUUGCCCCAUGAUUAUUUAAAAUUCAAUAUUUUUUUUCGUAUUCCCACUCCAAUAGAGUAUAUGUCAAGAUUGGUGUUGACACGUUCUCACUCCAUUUUUUCACUUCAAGCUCCCUUCUCUCAAACCUAAAGAAAGAUGCCCCCCUUCAAUAGUUGCUGUAAUAAUAAUUUUGAUUUGUGACAAUUAAAAAGGGCACUACAAAAAAAAUCAACAGAAAAGGAAAAGAAUUAGCAGCCUCUUAUGCUCUCAACAAGCUACCAACUUCAAAUCACUAUCCUCAAAGAAUUAAACUAAACUUUCCGUCGCAGUAAACAAAAAUGAAUAAUAAGCAAAAGUGAUAAACGAAUCAAUAUCAGAACCAGCUGAAGUGAGAAUCUUAGUACAUAGCACAAUAUUACAACACGAAAAA
rnacentral:lncRNA from 1 species